GUGGACGCCAGUCUGCAUGGAGCCGACCUUGAAAUACCACCCUUUAAUGUUUGAUGUUCUAACGUGGACCCGUAAUCCGGGUUGCGGACAGUGUCUGGUGGGUAGUUUGACUGGGGCGGUCUCCUCCUAAAGAGUAACGGAGGAGCACGAAGGUUGGCUAAUCCUGGUCGGACAUCAGGAGGUUAGUGCAAUGGCAUAAGCCAGCUUGACUGCGAGCGUGACGGCGCGAGCAGGUGCGAAAGCAGGUCAUAGUGAUCCGGUGGUUCUGAAUGGAAGGGCCAUCGCUCAACGGAUAAAAGGUACUCCGGGGAUAACAGGCUGAUACCGCCCAAGAGUUCAUAUCGACGGCGGUGUUUGGCACCUCGAUGUCGGCUCAUCACAUCCUGGGGCUGAAGUAGGUCCCAAGGGUAUGGCUGUUCGCCAUUUAAAGUGGUACGCGAGCUGGGUUUAGAACGUCGUGAGACAGUUCGGUCCCUAUCUGCCGUGGGCGCUGGAGAACUGAGGGGGGCUGCUCCUAGUACGAGAGGACCGGAGUGGACGCAUCACUGGUGUUCGGGUUGUCAUGCCAAUGGCACUGCCCGGUAGCUAAAUGCGGAAGAGAUAAGUGCUGAAAGCAUCUAAGCACGAAACUUGCCCCGAGAUGAGUUCUCCCUGAGACUUUAGGUCUCCUGAAGGAACGUUGAAGACGACGACGUUGAUAGGCCGGGUGUGUAAGCGCAGCGAUGCGUUGAGCUAACCGGUACUAAUGAACCGUGAGGCUUAACCUUACAACGCCGAAG
rnacentral:rRNA from 5 species